CUGGCUGGCAGGGGAGGGCAGGUGCUGCCUGCCCACACGGGUCGGGGACGCCGCUGAAAGGGGCCUUGGCAGCGUCGGGUGCGGUGGCGGGAGCGGAGCGGACCCCCCCCGGGCCGCCCCGCGCGCUGGUGUUGCUUCGUCACGCCCCGCUCCUCCCGGCCAGGUCUUAAAUAGGAGACGAUCGUCUUGGAAGGUCGAAAUGUUCGCGUGUGCCGCUAAACUGUCGUCCACUGAGCAAGGAUGCGAAUAAGUCUUUUUCUUCAGUAUUUACUUGAGAUCGCUCGCUGUAACUCUCCAGUGACAACUGGGGCAUCAACGUGGGAGCUCUUUCUUUAUUUCGAGGGUCCACUGCAAGCAAACCCUGUGCUAUGUUUCAAGAUGUCCUGGGAAAAACCUUCAGACUUCUUGGAUAUACCAUUCAGUAUGGCUGCAUAGCACACUGUGCCUUUGAAUACAUUGGAGGAAUUGUUGUGUGUUCUGGACCUUCAAUGCAGCCAACAAUUCAAAAUUAUGAUAUUGUUGUUUUGGACAACCUUAGCCGCCAUUUCUACAGCAUUCAAAAAGGUGAUAUUGUAAUUGCAAAAAGCCCAAGUGACCCAAAAUCAAAUAUCUGUAAAAGAGUAAUUGGCUUGGAAGGAGACAAAGUCUGUACAAGCAGUCCUUCAAAUUUCCUUAAGAGUCAUAGUUAUGUGCCAAAAGGACAUGUAUGGUUGGAAGGUGAUAAUCUCAGGAAUUCUACAGAUUCCAGGUGCUAUGGACCUAUUCCUUAUGGACUGAUAAGAGGACGCAUAUGUUUUAAGAUAUGGCCUCUGAAUGAUUUUGGAUUUCUACGCGCUAGCCCCAAUGGCCAUAGAUUUGUUGAUGAUUAAGACAGCUAUGUGAAUUCUACUAGCUUUAACUUUUUCUACAAAUUCAAAUGAACUUUUUAUUUACAAUAAAUAUAAAAACAUUGUGUGAGAAUGAAUGAUAUCAAAGUUUUUCUGACCUUAGUCCCAUUUUAUUAAAGUGUACAAAGAAGUGCACUGGAGUCACCAAUGGAAAUAAAUGCUUUGCUUAUUCAGCUGACCAUUCAUACAGGGAGAAUAUAGGACCUCUUCUCUUCAAAGGACAGGAGAAAGAGCAAGGUGAAAGAUGUGAACACCUUCUCCUUUUUCAAAGGUUUUUAAAGAAGUUACAGAGGACUGUACUCCAGCACCUUUUGUUCAGUGUUGAAAACAGAGUGGUAAAAAAGGUGACCACACUAGGAGGUCCCAUCAUUUAUCUACUUCACUUGUAUAGGGAAAUAAAACUUAAAAAAGAGGCCACCAGUCACAGGGGGGAAACAAAAGUCACCUUUGUGCCUCCAUAAAAAUUGUUAUGGCAGUACGAAGUGAAAGCAAACAGAGAUCCAUCCUCUCCUUCGCAGCCACAAAUGUUCAAAUUUGUGGCCACGACAGAAGGCAGUAUUAAAUUGGGCACAGACCAUGUCUGUUUGCUUAUAGCAGAAGAGCUCAGGCUGAGUGAAGCUGCCUGGGCUCUCCAUCCUCCCUAGGCAGUGGCUCCAUGGGCUUGAGGGGCAGAGUGCCUGCAUCACUUUCCCACUUGUCCAGACAUGUCUCUCCAGGAGUUGUGCCUGGGUAAGCAAGGACAGCUGGGGCUCUGGGGCAUGCAACCCAUGCAGCAUGCAGAGGGAUUUUCCUGUGCGCUUUCAGAGGAAGGACCCCUGUGUGAGUUCCUACCCAUCCCCCACCAUCUCCACACUUGCAGACCCAUGUGAGAAAAUCCCUUGCAGAGGGAUUUUCUCAAGUGUGCCUGCAAGUGCAGAGGGAGGAAUUCAGGUUCCCCCUCCAUGUUUGCAGGCAAGUGCAAGAAAAUUUCUUGCAGAGGGUUUUUCCUGCGCACCUGCAAAUACAGAGGAGGGAAAUCCAAGUUUUCCUUGCUUGCAUAUGUGCACCAACUUGGGGCACAGCAACCGGGGAUGUCUGUAGAUGUCCCUGAAGCGUGCUAAUGCUCCAAAGAUGACAUAUUGCAACACAACUGAUCAUGCUCCAAAGAUGUCUGUUUCCAGGCACAGAUUUUACAAAGCAGCAUUUGUCAGAGCCAGUGUCCCAUAAAAAGGGAUGUAAGUUAGAGGAGGAUGUUUGCUUGAGAAUGAAAGGGGAGAGGUUACUAUGCAGUCACUUUCAGCACACACUGGAAGCAAACACGAGAGCAGUAGUGACAGAAGGGACAGACUCUCCCAAUCCCCACGUGCUUCCUGCAAUAAAUAUAUUACUCUGUAAAUGAGAGGAGUGGCUGAAAAAUGAGGCCACCGUCUCUCGUACUGGCCCAUAGGAUGGGGUCUGAUGCUUAGGAUUUCAGCUGUGAUUUCCUUCUCCACUAUUGCAGUUAUAAAAUUCUCAACAAGCCAAAUUCAUCUUCCAUGCAAUUCCAAAAUGUGACCAUGUAUCACUGCAACCAAAUCACAGCUAAUCUAAGGUUUCAUCUGCAAUUAUGCCCAACAGCAAUUUGAUAAUUAGGUUACUUUUUUAAAAAGUUAAUUUUAAAUUAGAUUGUCCUCUUCCCUGAGUGAGCCUUCAAACACAGCAUUCAGUCCAGUGUAUUCACUGUCAAUCACUGUACAGUGCUGUUGUUUGCUUCAAUCAGAAGACAUUUAUUUUUCAAAACUGAAUACAUCUGACUUGUUUCUAACUUCUAUUCAACAUGAAAUCUAAUCUAACAUGAUUUAAGCCAAUACAAAUUGAUCAUUAGCUUGGACAGGUAUUUAAUUAUAGAAACUGAAGCCUGAUCUAAAUUUAAGGAAUUUAUUUGUGAGUCUGCAAUUUGUAUUAUUUCACAUUGUUUUAACUAUGUUAGCAUGCAUCUUCCAGUCUUGCCUGGCUGCUGAUUAUUUUGAUGUGAAACUAAUUCAGGUUUCUUAUAGUCUCAAGAUGUAAAAGGUUAUUCAGCACUGAUAUUCAUACCAAUGCUUAGGUCUAUUUUUUAUAUUAAUAAAAAUACAUGCAAUAUC